CCUACGGGGGGCUGCAGUCGAGGAUAUUUUUCAAUGGGCGAAAGCCUGAAAAUGCGACGCCGCGUGCGGGAUGAAGGCCUUCGGGUCGUAAACCGCUGUCAAGUCGGGCGAAUAUCUGGUCUGUUAACACCAGGCCAGGUUGACGGUACGAUUAAAGGAAGCCACGGCCAACUCCGUGCCAGCAGCCGCGGUAAUACGGAGGUGGCAAGCGUUGCUCGGAUUCAUUGGGUGUAAAGGGUCGGUAGGCGGUUUUAUAAGUGCUUGGUAAAAUCCCGCAGCUUAACUGCGGAACGCCCAGGUAGACUGUAAGACUUGAGGGCUGGAGAGGCAGACGGAAUUCCCGGUGUAAGGGUGAAAUCUGUAGAUAUCGGGAGGAACACCAGAGGCGAAGGCGGUCUGCUGGACAGCAUCUGACGCUGAGCGACGAAAGCGUGGGGAGCAAACAGGAUUAGAUACCCCAGUAGUC
rnacentral:rRNA from 1 species